CUUCCUCGUCGUUCAUGGCCGCGAGCUCGAGCUUGGCGGUCCGAACUCCGCAUUACCUCGGGGGCGUCGCUGUCUUCUUGACCUGUGUCGAGAGUUUUCUCAGAGAUCGGGGGUGUUUGGUAGGAGCUCCCCAUCUUUGUUGAGACGAGGUUCUUUAGGUCUUUAGUGUGGUUCGUCCUUUAUCUGUUUCCGCCGUAGCUCGCCGCUCUUCCUCCUUAAUAUCCCUCCUCUUCUCAGAGUGAGGGCCCUCCCCUCACUUUUUGCGGGGUUGCAUAGGAGUGUGGAGGUGCCGCUGAGGGG
rnacentral:lncRNA from 1 species